AUUGAACGCUGGCGGCAGGCUUAACACAUGCAAGUCGAGCGAGCGGCGGACGGGUGAGUAAUGUCUGGGAAACUGCCUGAUGGAGGGGGAUAACUACUGGAAACGGUAGCUAAUACCGCAUACCAUCAGAUGUGCCCAGAUGGGAUUCUCUAGUAGGGGGGGUAAUGGCUCACCUAGGCGACGAUCCCUAGCUGGUCUGAGAGGGUGACCAGACAAAUGGGAACUGUGAACCGGUCCAGACUCCUACGGGAGGGAGCAGGGGGGAAUAUUGCACAAUGGGCGCAAGCCUGAUGCAGCCAUGCCGCGUGUGUGAAGAAGGCCUUCGGGUUGUAAAGCACUUUCAGCGAGGAGGCGUUACUCGCAGAAGAAGCACCGGCUAACUCCGUGCCAGCAGCCGCGGUAAUAC
rnacentral:rRNA from 1 species